rnacentral:rRNA from 1 species
GGAACUGUGAGACAGGUGCUGCAUGGCUGUCGUCAGCUCGUGUUGUGAAAUGUUGGGUUAAGUCCCGCAACGAGCGCAACCCUUAUCCUUUGUUGCCAGCGGUCCGGCCGGGAACUCAAAGGAGACUGCCAGUGAUAAACUGGAGGAAGGUGGGGAUGACGUCAAGUCAUCAUGGCCCUUACGACCAGGGCUACACACGUGCUACAAUGGCGCAUACAAAGAGAAGCGACCUCGCGAGAGCAAGCGGACCUCAUAAAGUGCGUCGUAGUCCGGAUUGGAGUCUGCAACUCGACUCCAUGAAGUCGGAAUCGCUAGUAAUCGUGGAUCAGAAUGCCACGGUGAAUACGUUCCCGGGCCUUGUACACACCGCCCGUCACACCAUGGGAGUGGGUUGCAAAAGAAGUAGGUAGCUUAACCUUCGGGAGGGCGCUUACCACUUUGUGAUUCAUGACUGGGGUGAAGUCGUAACAAGGUAACCGUAGGGGAACCUGCGGUUGGA